rnacentral:tRNA from 1 species
GCGCCGAGCAGGGUGACUUCCCAGCCGUGCGCGCGCAGCGCGUGGCCGACGAGCGAGGCGGGCAGCGCGUGCCACUCGCGUUCGGCGCA